rnacentral:lncRNA from 1 species
AAAAAGAAAAAAAAACGGAGAAACAGAGGCGGCACUAAUAGCCGAACUUGAGGAAAGAAAAAAACAAGAAGAACCAAAGGCGCAAUUAAUUCACAGAUAGAGAGAAGAAAACUGACAAGUUGAUUUGAUUUUCCAUUCAUGUAAGUCUCUGUAUGAAUUGUUUAUUAAAUUAUUGAUGGAACAAGUUGCCAUAUUAAUAGGUAUUUAAUUAAUUGAUAGCACUACCUGAUCAAUUUAGUACAUGCAUAGUAUUUUUAUAUAAGAAUAGUUGUCAGAUUCAAAAAGUGGAUUUGGAAGAAUAAAGUCAAUAUCAUGAAUAUUGUAACAUUGGACUAUAUAUAUACAUAUUGAACCUGCUUUAAAAAAAACGAAUCAUAAUUUAAGGAUUCUGUUAUAAGCUUUGAUUCAUAUAUAUAUAUAUAUAUAUAUAUAUAUAUAUAUAAAACAGUAACACUUGAUUUUCAAAAUAAAAAGAGAAGUAAUCAUUAAAAGAUUAAUAUAAUGUAAUUUGAGUUUGUAUUGUAGUUUGAUGUAGUUGGGGAAAAUAAUUUCAUAUUAAUAUAAUUUGUAAUUAGUAACUCACUUAUAAUUGUAUUAUUAUUAUUUUAUUAGAUUGGACGGAGGGAAUUUAAAGAGUAUAUUUGGAAUAUAAAUUUGGGUAUUCCAUUAUCGAUUCCAGAUACGGAUUCCGUACUCUUUCAGCGAUACUCUUGUUAAAUUUGAUUUGUUCGUUUUGUUCCUUGUUUCGAAUUCUGUUAUGAUUUCACAUAAUUGUUUCCUGUGAAAUAUAUAAAUAUAUUAGUUUCAUUUGGAGUUAAUGCAUAUGAAUCAUAUUUGUACUCUUUGAAUUAGUUUAUCAUGUUUAAUAUUUAUUUUUGAUAAUUGUAGAGCGGUACAUGUUGCUACCUUCUUUUUGAGACCUUGUGACUAUAAUUUGAUUUGGUUCAACAUGUACAUAUAGAACCCUUUUGUUGGUAUUAUGUCGCAUGUGUUGUGACAUGAUAUUUUUGUUAGAAUAUCGUAGGGUAUACCUGAGCUAUACCCACCUGUGGGGAUGCCACAGGCAUGUUCUCUUGGCACCGAGGCAUGACACCUUCCGUGGCGGUGUGAUCAGUCCAUGGCGUCUCCUUUUUGUGCUCCGGUGGGAGUUGGUCAUUUGGUAUUUUGUUGUGGAAGGCGUAUGGGUCGACCCUAGUUUCUGUUCUGUUCUGCGGAGUGGUGAUGUUUGUGCCAAACACGCCUUCUGAUUUUUGCAUGCAUCUGGAUUGCGCAGUCCGAUGUGUGAUUGCCUGAGUGGUAUUAUUUUGAUUGCAUGUGUGACAUUAUUUGACUUGCCUGUAUGGCAAGGUGUAUUACUAUUUGUUUUGAGCUCGGUAUGAAAUAACACUCAGCCAUUUGAUUCAGCCUAUCAUUUCGUUGUGUUAGUUUUGUUCGUUUCGUUUCAGUUCGUUUCGUUUCAUUUCAUUUAAUGGAGUUAGUUAUUUCGGUUCAUUAUUUGUAUUCUAUAUCCGUAUUGAGCAUUUGGCUCAUGUUGUGUUUUUCUUCCGGCAGGUAAUCAGGGGAAUCAAGGGCAAGUGUGACGAGAGCUCCCUUUUAUCCAAAUGAUUUAGAUAUAUUAUGUUUAGGUUGUGAUACAUUAGUUUGUUCGGAAUUGUAAUAAUUAUUUUAGAUUGUGGUUUGAGACAAUUUGAUAUUUAUUAUGGUUGACUUGUUGUAUUUAUUAGAUAUUAAGACUAUUCUUGUGUGGCUUUGAGCCCUGCUAUUAAAUUCAUCAGUUUUGUUAUA